rnacentral:rRNA from 11 species
AGGUUAAUAUUCCUAUACCUCUAUACAAUGCGAUGUGGGGACGGAGAAGGUUAGAUCAGCCGGGUGUUGGAUGUCCCGGUUCAAGCGAGUAGGUUGGUUCUUUAGGCAAAUCCGGAGAGCUAAGACCGAGACGUGAUAACGAGUGUACUUGUACAUGAAGUGAUUGAUACCAUGCUUCCAAGAAAAGCCACUAAGCUUCAGUUGUAUAAGACCGUACCGCAAACCGACACAGGUGGGCAAGAUGAGUAUUCUAAGGCGCUUGAGAGAACUCGGGAGAAGGAACUCGGCAAAUUGGUACCGUAACUUCGGGAAAAGGUACGCCCCGGUAGCUUGAUCACUUUACUGUGUGAGGGCGAAAGGGUUGCAAUAAACUGGUGGCUGCGACUGUUUAAUAAAAACACAGCACUCUGCAAACACGAAAGUGGACGUAUAGGGUGUGACGCCUGCCCGGUGCUUGAAGGUUAAUUGAUGGGGUUAUCUUCGGAGAAGCUCUUGAUCGAAGCCCAAGUAAACGGCGGCCGUAACAAUAACGGUCCUAAGGUAGCG